rnacentral:rRNA from 1 species
UACAGAGGUCCCAAGCGUUGUUCGGAUUCAUUGGGCGUAAAGGGUGCGUAGGCGGCGCGGUAAGUCGGGUGUGAAAUCUCGGAGCUUAACUCCGAAACUGCAUUCGAUACUGCCGUGCUUGAGGACUGGAGAGGAGACUGGAAUUUACGGUGUAGCGGUGAAAUGCGUAGAUAUCAGGAGGAACACCAAUAGCGAAGGCAGCUCGCUGGGACGUUACUGGCACUGAGGCGCGAAAGCGUGGGGAGCAAACAGG